UCAAGUUAUUAAGGGUGCAGGGCGGAUGCCUUGGCACUAGGAGCCGAUGAAGGACGUGAUAAGCUGCGAUAAGCUUCGGGGAGUUGCACGUAAACUUUGAUCCGAAGAUUUCCGAAUGAGGAAACUCACUUAGAGUAAUGUCUAAGUAUCAUUAAGUGAAUACAUAGCUUAAUGAGGGGAACUCAGGGAACUGAAACAUCUAAGUACCUGAAGGAAGAGAAAGAAAUUCGAUUCCGUAAGUAGCGGCGAGCGAACGCGGAUUAGCCCAAACCAAUAAAGUUUUCUUUAUUGGGGUUGCGGACAUAUCAUAACGAAGAGGUAUCGUAAUUGAAGAGGUUUGGAAAGACCCACCACAGAAGGUAAUAGUCCUGUAUGUUAAACGAGAAGACUUCAGAUAUGAUCCAGAGUACCACGGGACACGUGAAACCCUGUGGGAAGCAGGAGGGACCACCCUCCAAGGCUAAAUACUACCUAGUGACCGAUAGCGUAUAGUACCGUGAGGGAAAGGUGAAAAGAACCCCGGGAGGGGAGUGAAAUAGAACCUGAAACCCUGCACUUACAAGCUGUGGAAGCACAUUUCUUGUGUGACCGCGUACUUUUUGUAGAACGGGCCAACGAGUUACGUUAAGUAGCAGGGUUAAGCACUUAAGGUGUGGAGCCGUAGCGAAAGCGAGUUUUAACUGAGCGUUCAGUUACUUGACGUAGACCCGAAACCGGGCGACCUACCCAUGAGCAGGAUGAAGCGAAAGUAAAAUUUCGUGGAGGUCCGAACCCACGAGCGUUGAAAAGCUCGGGGAUGACUUGUGGGUAGCGGUGAAAUUCCAAUCGAGCCCGGAGAUAGCUGGUUCUCCCCGAAAUAGCUUUAGGGCUAGCCUCAAGGUGAGAGAUACGGAGGUAGAGCACUGAAUGUCCUAGGGGGUAUUGCACCUACCGAAGACUAUCAAACUCCGAAUGCCGUCAUCUUAUACUUGGGAGUCAGACUGUGGGUGAUAAGAUUCAUAGUCGAAAGGGCAACAGCCCAGAUCGUCAGCUAAGGUCCCUAAAUGUAAGUUAAGUGGUAAAGGAUGUGGGAUUGCACAGACAACCAGGAUGUUGGCUUAGAAGCAGCCACUCAUUCAAAGAGUGCGUAAUAGCUCACUGGUCGAGUGAUCCUGCGCCGAAGAUUUCCGGGGCUAAAACUUACUACCGAAGCUACGGCAUCAGUAAUGAUGGGUAGGGGAGCUUCCCAUACGGGUUGAAGCAUGACCGUAAGGACAUGUGGACAGUAUGGGAGUGAGAAUGUUGGCAUGAGUAGCGAGAUGUGGGUGAGAAUCCCACAGGCCGUAAACCCAAGGUUUCCAGGGGAAGGUUCGUCCGCCCUGGGUUAGUCGGGACCUAAGCUGAGGCCGAAAGGCGUAGGUGAUGGACAACAGGUUGAUAUUCCUGUACUACCGAUAACCGUUUGAGAGAAGGGAUGACACAGUAGGAUAAGCUAAGCACACUGUUGGUUAUGUGUGCCCAAGCAUUGAGGCAGUCAAAGUAGGCAAAUCCGCUUUGAUAAUGCUGGGAUGUGAUGGGGAGCGAAAUUUAGUAGCGAAGUAGCUGAUUUCACACUGUCAAGAAAAGUCUCUAUCGAGGUUAAAGGUCCCCGUACCGCAAACCGACACAGGUGGGUGAGGAGAGUAUCCUAAGGCCAGCGAGAGAACUGUUGUUAAGGAACUCGGCAAAAUGACCCCGUAACUUAGGGAUAAGGGGUGCCACCAUCAGGUGGCCGCAGAGAAUAGGCCCAAGCGACUGUUUACCAAAAACAUAGGUUUCUGCUAAGUCGCAAGACGAUGUAUAGGAGCUGACGCCUGCCCGGUGCUGGAAGGUUAAGGGGAUCUGUUAGAGCAAUCGAAGCAGUGAACUUAAGCCCCAGUAAACGGCGGCCGUAACUAUAACGGUCCUAAGGUAGCGAAAUUCCUUGUCGGGUAAGUUCCGACCCGCACGAAAGGCGUAACGAUUUGGGCACUGUCUCAACAACAGACUCGGUGAAAUUGUAAUUCCGGUGAAGAUGCCGGAUACCUGCGACAGGACGGAAAGACCCCAUGGAGCUUUACUGUAGCUUGACAUUGGGUCUUGGUACUACAUGUACAGGAUAGGUGGGAGGCUUUGAAACCAGGACGCCAGUUUUGGCGGAGCCAUCCUUGGGAUACCACCCUUGUAGUACUGGGACUCUAACCAUAGGCCAUGAAUCUGGUCUUGGGACACUGUCAGGUGGGCAGUUUGACUGGGGCGGUCGCCUCCCAAAAGGUAACGGAGGCGCUCAAAGGUUCUCUCAGUACGGUCGGAAAUCGCACGUAGAGUGUAAAGGCAAAAGAGAGCUUGAUUGCAAGACAUACAGGUCGAGCAAGGAUGAAAAUCGGACUUAGUGAUCCGGUGGUUCUGCGUGGAAGGGCCAUCGCUCAACGGAUAAAAGCUACCCUGGGGAUAACAGGCUUAUCUCCCCCAAGAGUCCACAUCGACGGGGAGGUUUGGCACCUCGAUGUCGGCUCAUCACAUCCUGGGGCUGUAGUAGGUCCCAAGGGUUGGGCUGUUCGCCCAUUAAAGUGGUACGCGAGCUGGGUUCAGAACGUCGUGAGACAGUUCGGUCCCUAUCCGUCGCAGGCGUAGGAAAUUUGAGAAGACCUGUCCUUAGUACGAGAGGACCGGGAUGGACGUACCUCUGGUGUACCAGUUGUUCUGCCAAGGGCAUGGCUGGGUAGCUAUGUACGGAAUGGAUAAGCGCUGAAAGCAUCUAAGCGCGAAGCCAACUUCAAGAUAAGAUUUCCCACCGUAAGGGUAAGACCCCAGAAAGACUAUCUGGUUGAUAGGUCGAAGGUGUAAGUGCAGCAAUGUAUUUAGCUUAUCGAUACUAAUAGGUCGAGGACUUGACCAA
rnacentral:rRNA from 1 species